UGAGAUAUAGUAUAACACAAUAUAACUCACUUACACUGAGUUGAUGGUUAAAUAUUAACCUAUCUCAA
rnacentral:tRNA from 1 species